rnacentral:rRNA from 1 species
GACGAACGCUGGCGGCGUGCUUAACACAUGCAAGUCGAACGCAGUGGCGAACGGGUGAGUAACGCGUAAUCAACCUGCCCUUCAGGGGGGAACAACAGUUGAAAACGACUGCUAAUACCCCAUACUGAAGGAGGGGAUUGCGUCUGAUUAGCUGGUUGGAGGGGUAACGGCCCACCAAGGCGAUGAUCAGUAGCCGGUCUGAGAGGAGGAACGGCCACAUUGGGACUGGGACACGGCCCAGACUCCUACGGGAGGCAGCAGUGGGGAAUCUUGCGCAAUGGACGAAAGUCUGACGGCGCAAUGCCGCGUUGCAGAUGACGGCCGUCGGGUUGUAAAGAACUUUUGUGCGGGACGCGGUACCGGAAUAGAAAGCCACGGCUAACUACGUGCCAGCAGCCGCGGUAAUUC